rnacentral:rRNA from 1 species
CCCUUAGAUGUUCUGGGCCGCACGCGCGCUACACUGAUGCAUUCAACGAGUCUAAAACCUGCUCUGAUAGGGGUGGGUAAUCUUUUGAAUGUGCAUCGUGAUUGGGAUAGAUGAUUGCAAUUUUUCAUCUUCAACGAGGAAUGCCUAGUAAACGCAAGUCAUCAGCUUGCAUUGAUUACGUCCCUGCCCUUUGUACACACCGCCCGUCACUCCUACCGAUUGAAUGAUCCGAUGAAUAUCAUGGAUUGAGGAUGCAAGUAGGUUAGCCUAUCUUCAUCUUCGAGAAGUGAAGUAAAUCUUAUCAUUUAGAGGAAGGAGAAGUCGUAACA